CUGAAAGGAGGCUUUAGCCAGAAGCCACAGGCAGAUGUCAAGGACAACAUGAAAAAAGUAUGGAGAUUGAACUACAUGGUUCUAAUUCUUUCUUCUGGUCUUACUAUCUAGAUGUUGCAAAUAAAUUAACUGAAUACUGUUGAGUACUGCAACACACUGCCCACAGAUGUUAUAGAAUUUUCAUCCCUGGACAAUAUGCUGUAAUUGACCCUGCUUUGAGCACUGGUUUGGACUGCACAGUCUCCAGAGGCCCCUUCUAGCUUCAGCUCUUGUGAUGCUGUGACAUCCUGUGAUUUCUAGAUUGCAACUACAUUAAGUGCAUCUUAUCACCAUGAAUCAAGUGAAAACUCUGAAGCAUUCAAGAAUGAAAAGAAUAAAAAUCAAUGUGAAGAGCAUUUUCUCUCCUGUCAUGGUCCACAUGGCUUUUU